ACUGGUAGAAAUGACCCCAAAGACUUCCCAUGCAGGGAGGGCAAAGAAGAAAGUGCUUUGGAAUGGAGAUACCCCUUUUCCUCCUCCUGAAUGUAUCAGGCACCAUGGGGAGAGGCAGAAGAGGAAACCAGAUAUGAUCCUUCUUCUUGGGACUCUCCUGACCUAGGAAAAGAGACAGAUGAAUGCAGAUAACUGAGUCUAUAUACAGAGACUGCCACAAGCUCACACUUUACUGAAUGU
rnacentral:lncRNA from 10 species